AUUGAACGCUGGCGGCAUGCUUUACACAUGCAAGUCGAACGGCAGCGAGAGAGAAGCUUGCUUCUCUUGUCGGCGAGUGGCGAACGGGUGAGUAAUACAUCGGAACGUACCCUGUAGUGGGGGAUAACUACUCGAAAGAGUAGCUAAUACCGCAUACAACCUGAGGGUAAAAGUGGGGGACCGCAAGGCAUCACGCUAUAGGAGCGGCCGAUGGAAGAUUAGCUAGUUGGUAGGGUAAAGGCCUACCAAGGCGACGAUCUUUAGCGGGUCUGAGAGGACGAUCCGCCACACUGGGACUGAGACACGGCCCAGACUCCUACGGGAGGCAGCAGUGGGGAAUUUUGGACAAUGGGCGAAAGCCUGAUCCAGCAAUGCCGCGUGAGUGAAGAAGGCCUUCGGGUUGUAAAGCUCUUUUGUUUGGGAAGAAAUCCUAACGGAUAAUACCUGUUGGGGAUGACGGUACCAAAAGAAUAAGCACCGGCUAACUACGUGCCAGCCGCCGCCGUAAUAC
rnacentral:rRNA from 1 species